GACAGUCCACGGCCGGACAUAAGGCCACCGCUGGGACAACUGAAAACCUCCCGAAGCCACUCCUUAUCGUGUUCAAAUAGUUCCGGCAGGAGUAAACGGAUACGAACGAUCUUCACGCCGGAGCAGCUGGAGCGGCUGGAGGCGGAGUUCGAGCGGCAACAGUACAUGGUGGGCCCCGAGCGGCUGUACCUGGCGCACGCGCUGCAGCUCACAGAGGCGCAGGUGAAGGUGUGGUUCCAGAACCGGCGAAUUAAGUGGCGGAAGCAUCACCUGGAGGUGACGCAGCAACGACUGGCGGUCCUACAGCGGCACUCGCACGACCGCGACGACGACGCCUGAGUGCAAAGACAUUGAUAGUGCAGAAUGAAUGAAGCGCGCACUAUCGACUUUUAGUGGGUUGCGCGCACUUUCGAUUGCGAAAAAAUCCGACGCUGAGUUUGCGGAGAUACUUAAUUAAAAAAAAAUACAUGCCGAUUAAAAGUCAAUAGUGCACGAAGUUAUAAAGUGACAUUAUGGUUUUGUUUAAGUUAUAUUUUGCAGUUUUAAUCAAUAAUUUGAUAACUGCUUUGCAAAAUUAUCCAAAUUUAUUGCGAGUCUAUGGUUUUGUCACUAUUAGGAAUAAAUAAUUAAGACUAUAAAAUAGUUGUAACAUAUUUAAUUUAAGUGCGUAAUUAAGGUACCGCGUUUAGUUUUUCUCAUAAAUAAUUUGUAUUGUCGAAUCCAUCGACAAUAUUAGUAAUCGCUGCUCAUUAUAAACACUGAUUCAAUAUUUUUGGCGCCAUUUUUUAAGAAGCUGCUGGUGACGUAACUUUUUAUACUUACACCUAAAAAGGCACCGUUUAUUUGUUUUUUUUUUUUUACAUUGCUUCCUAGAUUUGUUUCUACAUCACGCGACUUAGGUCCAAUGGAGAUAUUUCUAGAGUGUCAAUAAACUGUGUAAUUAAUGUUUCUUUUGUAUUUCAAAAUAGGUUUUGAUUUGACCCUACUAUGAUGGAUAAUAAUAUUUACUUAAAUCUAUUUGAUAUUUAUUUUCAAUUUCUAGUCGAAAGUGUGCGUGGGCCGUUACACUACAUUUUAUGAUUUGUUAAAGCUCUCAACUAGGUAACAAUAAUAUUGUCGCGCAACAUGACGCUCAACACUGAAGUUGAAGAACGUCACAUUUUUUUUAAUUUAUAUUUUGUAACUAUAAGUAGCGUUGGAUAUAAAACGAGACGCGUCCUUUUACGCCAACAUCAUGUUGCCAACUUGAGCAUCCAGCUUUGCGACUUGCUGCAAUUAUUUAAUACAUCUUUAAUCUACAAGCAAUUAUAAUUUAUUUUCGCCAAAGUAUAUAGUAAUAAGGUAAUUCGGUCAGUACUGUAAAUUGUCUAGUAAUUAUUAAUAAAAAUCAUAAUUAAAGUGUGUUUUAUGUGGCUUACAGUUUCCUAGUAAAGAUGAAUAAACGAUUCCAAUAGUUAUCUUCAGAUCGAUCGAAAUAUUAACUAAUAAUACUGACUUAUUAUAUUUACAUGAAAAUUAGACAUCGAUAUAAUAAGAUUUGGAUUUUAUAGCGGUGUUUAAUAUUUGAAUUUUCUAAGUUUUGAAGACUUUACAGCCUUU